GACGAACGCUGGCGGCGUGCUUAACACAUGCAAGUCGAGCGAUGAAGUUUCCUUCGGGAAAUGGAUUAGCGGCGGACGGGUGAGUAACACGUGGGUAACCUGCCUCAUAGAGGGGAAUAGCCUUUCGAAAGGAAGAUUAAUACCGCAUAAGAUUGUAAUGUCGCAUGACAUAGCAAUUAAAGGAGCAAUCCGCUAUGAGAUGGACCCGCGUCGCAUUAGCUAGUUGGUGAGGUAACGGCUCACCAAGGCGACGAUGCGUAGCCGACCUGAGAGGGUGAUCGGCCACAUUGGGACUGAGACACGGCCCAGACUCCUACGGGAGGCAGCAGUGGGGAAUAUUGCACAAUGGGGGAAACCCUGAUGCAGCAACGCCGCGUGAGUGAUGACGGUCUUCGGAUUGUAAAGCUCUGUCUUUAGGGACGAUAAUGACGGUACCUAAGGAGGAAGCCACGGCUAACUACGCGCCAGCCGCCGCCGUAAAAC
rnacentral:rRNA from 1 species